AUAUCUUUUAUUUUCCUUCUGAUUUGCUUGUAUUAUUUUCACUUUGUCUACAGUUUUACCUGCCACACAAUGUCUGUCUUCACCACAUAAUGAGAUCAAAUAGUCAUAGCUCUGGUCUGGAUUAAAUCCUAGAUCUUAAUCACAUUCAUCCAUUCAUGGACUUACAGAUCAUCUAAAUGAGGAACUCAGGGCACUCAGCAGACAAAUCCUUAGCAAGCCAAUACAGACCUGCUAAGAGUCUAAGUGAAAUUGCGUGAUGCUCCAACCAACCUGAGAGCUGCAUUAAGCAAGGAACACAGUGACAAGGAUACUGCAGUCUGCCAGGGGAAAUCAUGUAGAGAAAGAUGGAGUAAUCAUAUACAGCAAGGCACAAGAAACCUGGGCAAACAUCACAUAUCCGCUUUCUUUGUAUCAUGAAUUUCUUUUUCCCUUCUGGAGUUAUCUGAUCCUCUAAAAACAAGGCAGUUUCAUUUUAAAUAUGGUAAUUUAACUUAAAAGUAUGAAAUAAAAGUGUGAAAAUUAAUUUUUCUGCCUGGACU
rnacentral:lncRNA from 1 species